GCUGGGAGUGUUAAUACUGUGUGUGUAGGGACACUGGUAGUACAGCUGUAGGAGUAUUAGUAUUGGUACUGCUGGUAUGGCAGGCUGGGAGUAUUAUUACUGUGUGUGUGUAGGGGCACUGGUAGUACAGCUGUGGGAGUAUUAAUACUGUGUGUGUGUGUAGGGGCACUGGUAGUACAGCUGUGGGAGUAUUGGUACUGCUAGUAUGGCAGGCUAGGAGUAUUAAUAUUGUGUGUGUAGGGGCACUGGUAGUAAAGCUGUGGUAGUAUUAAUAGUGUGUAUGUGUAGGGACACUGGUAGUAAAGCUGUGUGAGUAUUGGUACUGCUGGUAUGUCAGGCUGGGAGUAUUAAUACUGUGUGUAGGGGCACUGGCAGUACAGCUGUGGAAGUAUUAAUACUGUGUGUG